AACGACGUCAUGUCGUACGUUACGCUACGCUCUAAUCUCACGGACCAGUUUUACAGUACUCAGACUUUUGAUUUAAUAGAGAGAUACACUCUGGAGGAUUUUAAUUCGGUUGCGCAUUUGUAUAUGCCACAUUAAAAAACUUGCAAGUAUUCAUCACACUACUUACUACUAAGAUAACUAAGGGAGAGAUUUCUACCAAUUAAUCAACGAUUUUAAUCAAUCAAUUCAUCAAUCAAACAAUCAAUCAAUCCAGCAUACACAUAUAAAUAUAUAUUUUAUUUGAAACAUACUUCAAAUACCUACAGGAAAUACUCAAGAAGCUGCUGUGGAGCUAAAUAAGGAAAAGUGAAAAGGAUUAAAAACGGCAGGAAACGAAGAAAAACCAAUAAACAAAACACAACAAGUAUUAUUAGCAACUAACUAAAAGUAGGAGAGCUACAUAUAUACACACAUAUACA